rnacentral:tRNA from 1 species
GCCCCCGUAGCUUAGCUGGGAGUCAAAUGCCCUACAGCGCUCGGCUGAAGACCGAGUUGUCGUGGGUUCAAGUCCCACCGGGGGCACCA